UUCCCGCUUUUCUGCCCUUAGCCCAUUCUCUGCUUCACCAAUUCAAUCCCAUUUUCCCUCUUAUCUCUCUUCCCCUCUCUGGUUCCUCUCUGGUUCUUCUCUCUGGGCAAGACUGAAACCACAACACUCACUGCACACACCGCACUGCUCCCCCCGCGUCGCCGGUGUUGUUCCCUCACCCAUCGCCGUUGCUGUUCCCCUCCUCCACCGCGUCGCAGCUUCUCCUCCACGGCGUCGCAGCUGCUCCUCCUCCACCUCCACCUUGUGGCACAAGCACAAGUUGCGAGAUCAAGCCAGGAAGCGCAGGAAUGUAUGGCGAUGGAGAGAUGGAUUGAUUUGGCAUCCCUAAUUUGGACGUCUGCGGAUUUGGUUUUCUCUAAGGUUGCUGAAAAAGGUGAACUUGCAAUUGUUAGCUAGUUGUUACUUGCAGAAUAAUCAAGCUUAUGCGGCAUAUCAUAUAUUGAAAGGUGUUUGCAUGACAUCUUCGCUAUUUGGUAAAUAUGAAGAUGGGGACAUCGUGAAUAAGUUACAAGAGAUGUAUGAGGUACUCAAAAAUUCGAGGGAGGAGCCUUUCACGAUUGAAGAGAUAAAUGAAGUUCGAGAAAAGUUGGCAAACUUCAUUUCUAGUGAUUAUCUUUGAUAUUUUCUUGUAGUGAAUUUUAGUAUUGUUUUUGAUAUUUCCUUGUAAUGAAUUUUAGGUUACGGAUGCUAGUUUUUUAUGACUGUUAUGUAAUCGAGUUUUCAACUGUACAAUUUAAUUAUCUAUAUAAUUGGGUACUUUUUUAUAUGA